AAAUUGAAGAGUUUGAUCAUGGCUCAGAUUGAACGCUGGCGGCAGGCCUAACACAUGCAAGUCGAGCGGAAACGGCAGUAUUGAAGCUUCGGUGGAUUUACUGGACGUCGAGCGGCGGACGGGUGAGUAACGGCUGGGAACCUGCCCUGACGAGGGGGAUAACCGUUGGAAACGACGGCUAAUACCGCAUAAUGUCUACGGACCAAAGGUGGCCUCUGCAUGUAAGCUAUCGCGUUGGGAUGGGCCCAGUUAGGAUUAGCUAGUUGGUAAGGUAAUGGCUUACCAAGGCGACGAUCCUUAGCUGGUUUGAGAGGAUGAUCAGCCACACUGGGACUGAGACACGGCCCAGACUCCUACGGGAGGCAGCAGUGGGGAAUAUUGCACAAUGGGGGAGACCCUGAUGCAGCCAUGCCGCGUGUGUGAAG
rnacentral:ncRNA from 1 species